ACUACGAGUUUGAUCCUGGCUCAGGAUGAACGCUAGCGGCAGGCCUAAUACAUGCAAGUCGAACGGCAAGAUUUGGUAGCAAUACUAAAUCCUAGAGUGGCGCACGGGUGAGUAACGCGUACAUGACAUACCUAUAAGCGAGGGAUAGCAUUGGGAAACUGGUAGUAACCCCUCAUGUGAUUAUUAAAGUUCCAACGGUAAAAGAUGAGUAUGCGUCCCAUUAGCUAGAUGGUAAGGUAACGGCUUACCAUGGCUACGAUGGGUAGGGGUCCUGAGAGGGAGAUCCCCCACACUGGUACUGAGACACGGACCAGACUCCUACGGGAGGCAGCAGUGAGGAAUAUUGGACAAUGGGCGCAAGCCUGAUCCAGCCAUGCCGCGUGCAGGAAGACGGUCCUAUGGAUUGUAAACUGCUUUAUACAGGAAGAAACACUCCCUCGUGAGGGAACUUGACGGUACUGUAUGAAUAAGCAUCGGCUAACUCCGUG
rnacentral:rRNA from 1 species